GAAUCUUGCGCAAUGGGCGAACGCCUGACGCACCCAUGCCGCGUGGAUGAUGAAGGUCUCAGGUUUGUAAAAUUCUUUCACCGGGGACGAUAAUGACGGUACCCGGAGACGAACCCCCGGCUAACUUCGUGCCAGCCACCGCGGUAAUCCGAAGGGGGCUAGCGUUGCUCUGAAUUACUGGGCGUAAAGGGCGCGUAGGCGGAUCGUUAAGUGAGAGGUGAAAUCCCAGGGCUCACACCUGGAACUGCCUUUGAUACUGGCGAGCUUGAGUAUGAGAGAGGUAUGUGGAACUCCGAGUGUAGAGGUGAAAUUCGUAGAUAUUCGGAAGAACACCAGUGGCGAAGGCGACAUACUGGCUCAUUACUGACGCUGAGGCGCGAAAGCGUGGGGAGCAAACAG
rnacentral:rRNA from 1 species